GAUUUCUGGUUUAAUGCACCUGGCCCGCGGCCACUAGGCUUGUGAGUGCCGGCGCGCGUUUACCAUCCUUCUAGAAAACGAUUCUGCCAUUCACUUGGUUGGGAUCGCGAUCUAGAUCUUUUACUUUGAAAAAAUUAGAGUGUUCAAAGCAGGCUUACGCCGUGAAUACUAUUAGCAUGGGAUAACACCGUAGGACUUCGGUUCUAUUUUGUUGGUUUUUUAGCAACUGGAGUAAUGAUUGAUAGGGAUAGUUGGGGGUGCUAGUAUUUCGCGGCCAGAGGUGAAAUUCUCGUACUCGCGAAAGACUGACUACUGCGAAAGCAUU
rnacentral:rRNA from 1 species